rnacentral:rRNA from 1 species
UACGGAGGGGGCAAGCGUUAUCCGGAUUUACUGGGUGUAAAGGGAGCGUAGACGGCAAUGCAAGUCUGGAGUGAAAGGCGGGGGCCCAACCCCCGGACUGCUCUGGAAACUGUAUAGCUGGAGUGCAGGAGAGGUAAGUGGAAUUCCUAGUGUAGCGGUGAAAUGCGUAGAUAUUAGGAGGAACACCAGUGGCGAAGGCGGCUUACUGGACUGUAACUGACGUUGAGGCUCGAAAGCGUGGGGAGCAAACAGG